UACAGAGGGGGCAAGCGUUGUUCGGAUUUACUGGGCGUAAAGAGCGUGUAGGCGGCCAAGCAGGUCUGUUGUGAAAACUGGAGGCUCAACCUCCAGACGUCGACAGAAACCGCUUGGCUAGAGUCCGGAAGAGGAGAGUGGAAUUCCUGGUGUAGCGGUGAAAUGCGCAGAUAUCAGGAAGAACACCAAUGGCGAAGGCAGCUCUCUGGGACGGUACUGACGCUGAGACGCGAAAGCGUGGGGAGCGAACAGG
rnacentral:rRNA from 1 species